rfam:Candidate division WOR_3 bacterium SM23_60 WORSMTZ_54249, whole genome shotgun sequence.
GGCCCCAUCGUCUAGCGGUUAGGACAUCACUCUUUCAAGGUGGAGACACGGGUUCGAUUCCCGUUGGGGCCG